rnacentral:rRNA from 1 species
UCCAGACUCCUACGGGAGGCAGCAGUGGGGAAUAUUGGGCAAUGGGCGCAAGCCUGACCCAGCGACGCCGCGUGAGGGAAGACGGUCUUCGGAUUGUAAACCUCUUUCAGCAGGGAAGACAAAAGGACGGUACCUGCAGAAGAAGCCACGGCUAACUACGUGCCAGCAGCCGCGGUAAUACGGAGGAUCCGAGCGUUAUCCGGAUUCAUUGGGUUUAAAGGGUGCGUAGGUUGUUUUAUAAGUUAGCGGUGAAAUACCGAUGCUCAACAUCGGGGCUGCCGCUAAUACUGUAGGACUAGAGAUCGGAUGCAGCAGGCGGAAUGUGUAGUGUAGCGGUGAAAUGCAUAGAUAUUACACAGAACACCGAUUGCGAAGGCAGCUUGCUAGGCCGGAUCUGACACUGAUGCACGAAAGCGUGGGGAUCGAACAGGAUUAGAUCCCCCGGUA